AUGGACCUAGACCUACACGGUGAACGCCAACGCGAGAACAGACUCACGCGUCACCAACACGAAUGCUCGCCACGGCGCUGCGUCCCGCAUGUCCCGCACGCAUCCGACGCGCCCGACGAGUCCGACCGCACCAGUGCGUCCCGCACGUCCCGCACGCAUCCGACGUGUCCAACGAGCCCGACUGCACCAGACGUCGUGGCUUAUUCCAACACACACCCUAAGCCACGACAUCGCCGUCGUCGGAGUUGGGGUAACUCCCGUCAUCGAUGUCGCCACGACCGCGGACUCGACCCGGCGCGCUGA
rnacentral:rRNA from 1 species